UGCCAGACUCCUACGGGAGGCAGCAGUGAGGAAUAUUGGUCAAUGGUCGGGAGACUGAACCAGCCAAGCCGCGUGAGGGAGGAAGGUACAGAGUAUCGUAAACCUCUUUUGUCAGGGAACAAAGGCGGGGACGUGUCCCCGGAUGAGUGUACCUGAAGAAAAAGCAUCGGCUAACUCCGUGCCAGCAGCCGCGGUAAUACGGAGGAUGCGAGCGUUAUCCGGAUUUAUUGGGUUUAAAGGGUGCGUAGGCGGACUGGAAAGUCAGCGGUAAAAUCGAGAGGCUCAACCUCUUUCCGCCGUUGAAACUGUCGGUCUUGAGUGGGCGAGAAGUAUGCGGAAUGCGUGGUGUAGCGGUGAAAUGCAUAGAUAUCACUCAGAACUCCGAUUGCGAAGGCAGCAUACCGGCGCCCGACUGACGCUGAGGCACGAAAGCGUGGGUAUCGAACAGGAUUAGAUACCCGAGUA
rnacentral:rRNA from 1 species